GUGCUCGCUGAGCAGCACAUACACUAAAAUUGGAACAAUACAGAGAAGAUCAGUGUGACCCUGCACAAGGAUAUGUUUUCCUUCCUGUCUGUAGAUAUACUUCAUAUGU